UCUAAAGCGCCAUGCUUUACGAAGCUGACGUAGUGUCACAUCAUGUAGGAGCUGUCGGAUUGCACAAGUGUUUAAUCUGGAUCCUCCAUCGGAGGGAGCAGGACGACGCUGACGUCGGGUGUCUCCUCGAUCUGGAUUUCUCGCUCGCCGACCUCCCCGCACUCACCGCUUCGCCUCCCGCCGCUGCUCUUCCUACCCCGGCACACCGCCUUCCCAGCUCGCGCCGCCUGCCUCCCUUCUACCCCGCGCGGCCGCCGCCACCUCCCCAACACGGAAUGAGCAGUGGGCAGGGGAGCGUGCCUGCCCGCGGGAUGAGCGUCGGAAGCCGCCGUGCCGCCCCGCGCGCAACCGCUGCCCCCGCAAUCCAGCUCGCCGGCAGGCCCAGCAGCCCCGCGAGUCAGGAGCUCCGCCGCCGCUUGCCCCCGUGCGCCGCCAGCAUCCGCUUCCCCUGCGGUCGCUACCGCCACUUAAGAAAGCACGACAGCCGCCGUCGGAUUCACCCCGACCCCACCCCACCCCACGUUCUCCGUGCUCCUCGCUGUAUUUGGUUCUCCGGCCGCCUCGCAGGCCCGUGCUCCGGAUCCACCGCCGCCUCGCCGGCGCGCUGCGCCUGCUCCUAGCUUCUCCAGCCCCGUCGCCAUAUUGCCGUCCCGCUCGACACCCUCUCAGCGUCUCCGGCCCAGAGCCGGAUGAGGAGAUCAGCCGGUGAGAGCCCGGAUUUCGCCGCUUCGUCCUGGGAGCGGACGACCCCGACCCGCUCCGCGCCCUCGUGAACGAGUUGGUGAUCGCGGACGUGCUCCACGGAGCACCCUACGCGAUCUUAGAAGACGAAAGCCGGCCCCUGCCGAGGCGCGUGGUCCGUCUCUGCACGGCGAAACAGGGCGGACGCUGGGCUGGCGGCAACACUGCAGGACAAGGAGACGACCGCGGCGAAAAAGCUGCAGCUCCGGGCGGUGCGCAAGCAAAUUCGGCGUGUGAUGGUGCAGGGAAGACACGUGGCAACUUGGCUUUGUUAGCGCAAAGGGCAAGGGGGGAGGGAAGCAGGGGUUCCAAGAGUGAAAGAGCAAGGGGUAUACCCAAGUGAGAUGGGCUGUGUCAAUUGGAAUGGACUCAUUAAUAAACUAACCCUAAGUAUAAGAUUUGUCAUUUAUGUGAUGGGUGCAACGAAUGGGAAACACAAAAGAAGCUUAGUUGACAGCUCAAGGCGCUACCGAUUUGACACAACACGUUGCCUUUACUUGGCUGUCGUCACAAUGGAAACCAUGUGCUCUAUCUUCAGAUACGAUCGCCUCUGAUGACAUAGAGAAAUUUGCAGGAUCUGCUCUUGGUAGAAAUAUGAUCGUACAAGUUAAUGUUCGUGCCAAGAAUGGUCACUUUAAUGUUACAUGAUCUGUAUUUCUACCACCACCUGUUCCUCUCUUUUUUACUCUUUGAGGGUCAUGUUCCAUGUCCUCUGAGCCGUGAACAAAGUUUCAGAAAGGACGCUCCACCUGGGCUUGCUGCUAACUGACGUACUGAUCAAUCAGCUAUGUUUCCACUUCUUCCAUUUCUAUGAUUUCAACUAAACUGAACUGUCUUGCCUCACCUUACUCAUGAUGGAAGAAAUGGCAGGCAGCAAAAGAACUUCACGAGCAACUAACAAGCUGCUAUCAACGUAACCCAUGGCCUUAUCUUCGUUUGGUAAUGUAUAUAUAAGCAUCUCAAGUGUCACGUUGCUUGCUCGCGAGGACUGAAAUGUAUUACGUGGUUAUUUGGAAUC